rnacentral:rRNA from 1 species
CUUGCUCCCUGAUGUUACGGCGGACGGGUGAGUACACGUGGGUACCUGCCUGUAAGACUGGGAUAACUCCGGGAAACCGGGGCUAAUACCGGAUGGUUGUUUGAACCGCAUGGUUCAAACAUAAAAGGUGGCUUCGGCUACCACUUACAGAUGGACCCGCGGCGCAUUAGCUAGUUGGUGAGGUAACGGCUCACCAAGGCGACGAUGCGUAGCCGACCUGAGAGGGUGAUCGGCCACACUGGGACUGAGACACGGCCCAGACUCCUACGGGAGGCAGCAGUAGGGAAUCUUCCGCAAUGGACGAAAGUCUGACGGAGCAACGCCGCGUGAGUGAUGAAGGUUUUCGGAUCGUAAAGCUCUGUUGUUAGGGAAGAACAAGUACCGUUCGAAUAGGGCGGUACCUUGACGGUACCUAACCAGAAAGCCACGGCUAACUACGUGCCAGCAGCCGCGGUAAUACGUANGUGGCAAGCGUNUCGAAA